rnacentral:rRNA from 1 species
UCGAGAAUAUUUAGCAAUGGACGAAAGUCUGACUAUGCGACGCCGCGUGCAGGAUGAAGGUCUUCGGAUUGUAAACUGCUUUUGUUAGGGGAGAAACCUGUGUCGUUAACAGCGAUACAGCUGACGGUACCUGACGAAUAAGCCACGGCAAACUCCGUGCCAGCAGCCGCGGUAAUACGGAGGUGGCAAGCGUUACUCGGAAUUAUUGGGUGUAAAGGGCAGGUAGGUGGUCUGAUAAGUGAGGGGUGAAAUCCUGCGGUUUAAUCGCAGAACUGCCUUUCAUACUGUCGGACUUGAGAGUGUUAGGGGAGAAUGGAAUUCCCGGUGUAAGGGUGAAAUCUGUAGAUAUCGGGAAGAACACCAACAGCGAAGGCAAUUCUCUGGGACACUUCUGACGCUGAACUGCGAAAGCUAGGGGAGCAAACAGA